rnacentral:lncRNA from 1 species
ACCGAGGUCGGGGACGCCGAGGCCACCGGGCGCCUGGUCCAGGCGCUGGCCGCCCUGCAGGAGGGACUCUAGGGAUGGUGCCGUCCCCAGGACCCUCUUGGAGACGCCUACAUGGCCCUGGGGAUGGCCCCUCUCCGUCCUGGGGACGCUGGGGAUGUCUGGGUGUCCCCUGUCCACCCUGGGGACACCCGGACGGCCCUUGUGUUCUGGGGACACCAAGGACACCAGAGAUGUCCUCUCUCCACCCUGAGGACACCUAGAUGGCCCUUGUGUCCUGGGAUGUCCCCUGUCCAUCCUGGAGACCUUGAGGCCACGGUGGCUGUCCCCUCCAUCCCCACACCAGGGACACACUGGGGACACACUGGGGAUAUGCUGGGGACAUGCUGGGGACACACUGGGAACACAUUGGGGAUGCGCCAGGGACAUGCCAAGAACAUGUCAAGAACCCACAAGGAACCUGCCAGAAUCCCACCAGGAUCCCACCAGGAUCCCACCAGGAACCCCUCAGGAUCCCUCCAGGAUCCCACCAGGAUCCCACCAGGAACCCCUCAGGAUCCCUCCAGGAUCCCUCCAGGAUCCCACCAGGAUCCCACCAGGAACCUGCCAGAAUCCCACCAGGAUCCCACCAGGAUCCCACCAGGUUCCCACCAGGAACCCCUCAGGAUCCCUCCAGGAUCCCACCAGGAUCCCACCAGGAACCCCUCAGGAUCCCUCCAGGAUCCCACCAGGAUCCCCCCAGGAACCUGCCAGGAUCCCACCAGGAUCCCACCAGGAUCCCACCAGGAACUCCUCAGGAUCCCACCAGGUUCCCACCAGGAUCCCACCAGGAACCUGCCAGAAUCCCACCAGGAUCCCACCAGGAUCCCACCAGGAUCCCACCAGGAUCCCACCAGGAUCCCACCAGGAUCCCACCAGGAUCCCACCAGGAUCCCACCAGGAUCCCACCAGGAUCCCACCAGGAUCCCACCAGGAUCCCACCAGGAUCCCACCAGGAUCCCACCAGGAUCCCACCAGGAUCCCACCAGGAUCCCACCAGGAUCCCACCAGGAUCCCACCAGGAUCCCACCAGGAUCCCACCAGGAUCCCACCAGGAACCCCUCAGGAUCCCUCCAGGAUCCCACCAGGAUCCCACCAGGAACCUGCCAGAAUCCCACCAGGAUCCCACCAGGAUCCCACCAGGAACCUGCCAGAAUCCCACCAGGAUCCCACCAGGAUCCCACCAGGAACCUGCCAGAAUCCCACCAGGAUCCCACCAGGAUCCCACCAGGAACCUGCCAGAAUCCCACCAGGAUCCCACCAGGAUCCCACCAGGAACCUGCCAGAAUCCCACCAGGAUCCCACCAGGAUCCCACCAGGAACCUGCCAGAAUCCCACCAGGAUCCCACCAGGAUCCCACCAGGA